GCCUAGUUAGCUUAGUUGGUGGUGCGUCUGCCUUGUAAGCGCUAGGCCGCGGGUUCGAUUCCCGCCCGGGACG
rfam:Asian citrus Psyllid, Diaphorina citri - Florida Strain, whole genome shotgun sequence.